AUGGUGGUUCGUUCAAGAUUUCUCCUCCUUCGUUAUCGUAUCAAUUCAUUCGUUCUUUCCAAAUCCUAUCGGUGGCUUGUUCAAGACUUUUCUCAAGUUUACGCUAUGUCUCUCCUCAAUCCUUUUUCAAGAAGAAUAAGUAGUAUGCCAAAUCUGUUGCUUGUCAUCAAUUUAAAAUUGGUGAAAGAUAAGCAUAAUGUAAUUCCAAUUCUUAUUUCAUCGAGUAAAUUCAAUUCCUUAUUCCGUAGGCUCAUCAAGUUCUCGGUUUCAAUUGUUUCAUCUUUUCUUUUCCCGGAGUUCCAAGCUCUCUCAAUUAUAUCAUCACGAAGCUCCAUCUAA
rnacentral:rRNA from 1 species